GCAAAAUGAUGUUGUUGCUAAGGCAUUCAAGAAUGCUCCAAAUAAUAAUCAAAUGUUGUCUCCCAAAAUUCAGAGAGAUAUUACCGAGUGCUUUGCAAAAGAAGUACUAGGCCAUGUGAUGAAAGAAAUUGGUAAUGGUGUGUUCAGCUUAUUAGUUGAUGAGUGUAGGGAUGUUUCCGACAAAGAACAAAUGGCGGUUGUUCUCCGAUAUCUUGAUAAGUGUGGACUGGUCCAAGAGAAGUUUGUUGGUGUUGUUCAUGUGGAGGAGAUAACAUCUUCUUAUCUCAAGUCUUGCAUAGAUUUAUUAUUUUCACAACUUGGGCUGAAUCUUGAACAAGUUAGAGGCCAAGGUUACGAUGGAGCAAGUAAUAUGUCUGAUAUUCGAGGUCGGAGAUUUCUUUGAUAUGGUUUCAGUUUUGCUGAAUGUCGUGGGCGCGUCUUGCAAGA